rnacentral:rRNA from 1 species
AUUGAACGCUGGCGGCAUGCCUUACACAUGCAAGUCGAACGGCAGCACGGGUGCUUGCACCUGGUGGCGAGUGGCGAACGGGUGAGUAAUACAUCGGAACAUGUCCUGUAGUGGGGGAUAGCCCGGCGAAAGCCGGAUUAAUACCGCAUACGAUCCACGGAUGAAAGCGGGGGACCUUCGGGCCUCGCGCUAUAGGGUUGGCCGAUGGCUGAUUAGCUAGUUGGUGGGGUAAAGGCCUACCAAGGCGACGAUCAGUAGCUGGUCUGAGAGGACGACCAGCCACACUGGGACUGAGACACGGCCCAGACUCCUACGGGAGGCAGCAGUGGGGAAUUUUGGACAAUGGGCGAAAGCCUGAUCCAACAAUGCCGCGUGUGUGAAGAAGGCCUUCGGGCUGUAAAGCACUUUUGUCCGGAAAGAAAUCCUUGACUCUAAUACAGUCGGGGGAUGACGGUACCGGAAGAAUAAGCACCGGCUAACUACGUG